CACGCAUACCCAUCUGCCACUGCUACAACUUACUCUUGUCGCGGCCCUCCCGACCUCACACGCUUCCUUCUCGAACGCACCCCCUUACCCUGCCGUGUCUUCUGUAAUUCCUUCAUCCUGUUGUGUGUGUGCCCUCGCCAACAGUUGGAGUCUUCAUUGAAACCGUCGUGGCACAUCGACACACGAUCACUUAAGCUCAAGCACGCACAGCUACACCCAAGCACACACGCACACCCACACUGACCCGUUUAAGCGUUGAGAGACUACGGCUGAUCAGCUAAAGGACAACAGCACGCGAAGGACAAAGCAAAAAAAAAAGGAAAGGGAAGAACAGGAGCGCAGCAAAGUCAUACGCACACAGAUUCACACAUAUAUAUGGCCAGAAGCACCUGCGUCCAUUCUAAGCCGAGCCGUUAGUUGUUGCCGUGUGUGUGUGCGCGCGCGUCUACUCAACAUUGUUAGCCCCCUCCCCUCCUCCCAUCUCCCUCCUCUGCCUACUAAGGCCGUAACGCGCGGCGUGGAGGGGCUCCUCUCUCUUCAUAUUCGCUUAAGCCACCGCUGAUCUACGCUGGCAUGUUUGCUCCCCUCACAGACACACGCGCCUGAGCAAUACCCCCCCCCACACACACACAAAAAAAAAGUAAGGGGCCCUUCGCUCUCCCGCUCUUUGUUGUUUUCGUUGUUGCUGCUUCAUCGGCUUUUCAUUCUUGCUGCUCCUCAUUGAUUGAAGCGUUUUUUUCAGUGCGGUGACGCUGGCUGCCAGCUCCCUCACCUUUGCCACGGACAAACCUGGUCGUUCCUCCUCACUCUCUCCCAUUUUUCGAAUGUCAUAGAAGCUGCUUUCUUGUGUGAGACUGCGCUUGUUUAUGUGUCUGUUUUUUUUUUGUACCAUCCUCUGCACACACCCAAACACAUAUCUAAGCAUAUACGCAUUCAUACACACCCGUUAAAGAGGGAAUCACGCAACGUAUUUGUUCUGGUAUUCUCCUCCUCUCCCUCUCCCCCCUGCGAACGUUGUCAGUCUCUCCUUUCUCGGUCGCUACUGCCAGUCUCUGCCUCUCUCUUUCUUCCCCCCCCCUCCCCUUUUAGACAGACACGCGGAAGCGUCGUGAAGGGAGGGCCAGCCGUGCACCGUUUUCGUGUGUUUUUCUUUUUUUUUCUUCAGCUGUGCUGGUUUUGAGUUCUUCUUCGCUCAUCUCACGUGCCUGCGUCGCUGCAUUGAACGCGCUGCCGAGCUGUGCACUCACCCACACAUAGACCCCUUAUCUCCCCAUAUCUUCUUGAGGAGCAACUGCACAGCAGUGUGCGCGUGUGCCUCUCUUUUCUCCCGCUCUCCUCUCCGUCUUCUUUUUAUCGGUGGCGCAACCUUCUGAUUUUUGUGUGUGUGCUCGCUCUGCGAGGCUAUUCUCAUCAUUCCCCUCCGCCCUCUUCCGUCUCUUGCCUUUCUCCGUGUAAUCAUCAUUAGUGAAAAAAAAACGGAGCAAGGCAAAUUCACCCGUUCUCUUUCUCUGUGUGUUUUGUGUGUGCGCUCAGCGUGUUUUGCCAUCGCCCUCUUCCCUGACCCUCUCCCUCUUUCCAGCCGAGCGCCCCGGGGUAGUGAGGCAGAGGAGUCAUCACGCAGCAGGUGUGCUCAUUUCUCAUAAGCCCUUCUGACGGGAUAUCAACAAAAAACGAAGCCCUUUUCCACGACAGCAGUUGUGGGAGUAACUUUGCCUCCCUGCUGCUACGGCUGUCUCGGGACUGCUUGCGGGCACCGCCUUCUGCCGGCGUUUGGACAGUCCGCGCCGCGCUCAGCAGUCCCGAUCCCCACAGCGUUGCAGCAGCGCCACCGCACACAUACACCGGCAAACGUACAAGGGCACUAAUGAGCGUGGCACCAAAAGCGCCGAUGCCAGCGAUUUCAUCGGUUGCCGCCGCGUCUGCUGCCCACAAAACUGCUCAGCAGGCCGUGGGCCCUCUCAAGGGCACUGUCGCCCUCAGGCGCCUCGUGGACAUGCUUUUGUUUGUCGGGCCAAGCGGCUCUGGCAAGUCUACGGUGAUUCGCCGGCUGCAGCGGGACUGGCCCACGCUAUUUGAGUUCAGCGUGAGCCACACAACCCGUUGCCCGCGGCGCGGCGAGGUGCAUGGGCAGCACUACUACUUUGUCACCAUGGAGGAGUUCCAGCAGCUGGUCGACGCGGGUCACAUGAUUGAAUACUCGCGGCUCUGCAUGCCCGAAACGUCGUCGUCGACGCCUCCGCUGAGCAAGCCAGUCGGCAACCUCUACGGGACUAGCAAGAAAGCCCUGCACACGGUGCUCGCGCGCAAUCGCGUCGUGCUAAUGGACACUGAUCUGCUCGGCGCCAUCAACAUUCGGCGUUACUGCUCUCGUGAGGUGGUGAGCACGAGGCCGGUGACCGUUUCGCAAGCGCAGCGCAGUAUCGCGCAGCGCGACGAUGACGCCGCUCCGGCCGCGCAGACCCUGCUAACCCUCUCCAAGCCUCGGCAUGCAUCCGUCUCUCUGGAGAACGAGCACGCCGCGGACCCCACGACUGCGAAUCCAUCCAAGGAUUCGAUGUUGCCGUCGUCCCCUUUCUAUGCCGCACCCGUGGUCACACGCACGCUGCGCUGCAUGAUCAUUUUCAUCGCGCCACCUAGCAUGCAGGUGCUGGAGCAGCGGCUGCGGGAACGAAAGACCGAAACAGAAGCUUCGAUCCAGCUGCGCAUGAAGGUGAAUCGGCAGUGGAUGCAGUGGGCCAAGGAGAAUCAGUCGUUCUUUGACCACUACAUCGUGAACGACAACCUUGAUCUCUGCUACGCCAAGGUGAGGGAGAUUGUGCGGGCAGAGGUGCUCAUGGUGGACAGCACUCUGUGAAGAGGGGGUUGGGGCCAAUGAGCAGCGGAGAGGAGGGGAGGUGCGAUGCGAAUCGGCUGGUUUGGGGGUGGGGUAGUGACGUUGCACACAUCGAGAGGAGAGAAACGAGGAGAGCCGCACCGGGACGAGGCGCGGUGUGGGUCUCUUUUUUGUUUUGCCUUUUGCUGCUUUCUUCGGUUUGUGCUGCGCUGUGCUCGAAACAGACAAUGUUUUGUUCGCUUGGUGCUGCUGCUGCUGCUGCUGCUGUCGCUGUCGCUGCUGGGACGUGGCCUACGAGCAAGGUUGAGCGCCGGUGUUGUUUUGGUUUGUUUUGAUGUCUCCCCUUUCAGUUUUUUUUUGUGUUGCCCUUGUACGUGUAUGCGCCUUUCCUCUACCUACUCACCUUGUAUUGAUGUUCUGUGACUGUGUCUGACCGUGUUUGCGCCGCCCCCUCACCGCCCACAUCAGUCCCCUUCUCAUGUCUCUUGAGAUAGCGAGGAAUGCGACGUACGUUCUUGCCUCUCGCCUUUUUCUUCUGAGUUCUUGGCUUCUGUGCGUGUGUGGUGUUUUCUUGUUGUUUUCCGUGAACUUGAAGGCACGCUAGGGUUCUGCGUACAUCGCACCAGCAACGGUGUUACGCGCACCCUCACUUUCUCCCUCCCGUCUCCCCAAUUAUGAUGUCGAUCUUGCAAGCAAACGCAGAAGAAGCGGGUGUUGCGGGCAGUGUGAACGCGUUGGUCUUGCGCAUGGAAAACCGAGCUGUCGCUGAACUCGUCUUGUGUGUGUGCGUCCGUCUUUCAGCGUGCGUCUUAGCGCUCUCUACGUUUUCUUCUUUUUGUGGAUGUCUGCACCUCAUUUUUUCUGUGACGUCCAAGUGUGUUCGAGGCUUUUGCGUGAGCAGAUGUGCCGAAUCAGGAGGCAGCGAGAGUGGAGAGAAAAUAUUAAAAAAAAACACAUGAGGGUUAGUUGAAACGACGUGACGGCGAAUGGGCAGCUCGCCUGCGCUGUCGACGUGCGUCUUCAGGGUUCAAAGGCACAUACCUGUGAGCCAGUGAUUUCUCAUCUGUCAAGCCGCGUUCUCCGAUAACCGCGCCCCACCUACACAGUCG
rnacentral:misc_RNA from 1 species